CCUCUACUAAUUAUCUCAACCUUGACGUGGUGUAGAGGCUUUAAAACUAAUAGAGAU
rnacentral:ribozyme from 1 species